UUUCUUGCGCCGGCCUUCUACCCGAGCAGUGGAGAGAGAGGGCCCACUCAUCCCCCAACCGCCGUUGCUCCUGCAACGCCGUUCACGUCGCGGGAUCUCUCCCUCGCGGCUCUUCCGGCGCCGUAGAGGCCAGUCCACCUCCGUGGCCACUUCGGCUCUUCCGCCAGUGGCAACCAACCCGAGGAUCGUCGACACCGUCCACCUACUGCUCGAUAUCAAGAUGAUCAUCAAGAAGACGGCCUUCGUCGCCAAGAACAGCCCGAGUUCGAGAUGCGCGUCCGUGCCAGCAAAGCCAGCGACUCGAAGUUCACCUUCCACAUCAUUCCCUCCGACCCCUGCGACGCCUACUGCAAGCAGCGUGUCUCUGAGUUCCGCUCCUUCAUCAGACCUUUGACUGCUAUAUUCCACUAAUUAAGUUCGUUUCCCGAUUAUGUAUAUUAUAUUGUUUGUCAUUG
rnacentral:lncRNA from 1 species